UGUGUCGAGGACUCUUCAACUACCCCAGCAGACUGACCGACAGCGCAGAGGACUCUGCGUCGGACCGCUCGGUGUCAGUGCAGCAGUAUCUGCAGGGUCUGAUCCAGAGCGCCUCCAGCCGCUGUGUGAAGGCCGACGCUCUGCAGAAGAUCUGGCCGCUGCUGUUCAGCGAGAUCAUCAGAGACUCGGUGCUGGACAUGAGGGACACACACACAUACAGACACAACAGCCUGCAGAGACUCACACACACACACUAA